rnacentral:rRNA from 1 species
CCCGCACAAGCGGUGGAGCAUGUGGUUUAAUUCGAUGAUACGCGAGGAACCUUACCUGGGCUCAAAUGUAUGUUGACGUAUUCUGAAAGGGAUACUUCUUCGGACAAUAUACAAGGUGCUGCAUGGUUGUCGUCAGCUCGUGCCGUGAGGUGUCGGGUUAAGUCCCAUAACGAGCGCAACCCCUAUCAUUAGUUGCCAUCAGGUCAAGCUGGGGACUCUAAUGAAACUGCCUACGCAAGUAGUGAGGAAGGUGGGGAUGACGUCAAAUCAGCACGGCCCUUACGUCCAGGGCUACACACGUGCUACAAUGGCCGGUACAAAGGGCAGCUACCUGGUGACAGGAUGCUAAUCUCAAAAGCCGGUCCCAGUUCGGAUUGCAGUCUGCAACUCGACUGCAUGAAGUUGGAAUCGCUAGUAAUCGUGGAUCAGCCAAGCCGCGGUGAAUACGUUCCCGGGCCUU